CCGCCAGAGAACUACAAGUGAAAAACUUAAAACUCAAAGGACUUGACGGUGUCCCACAUCGAUCUAGAGGAGCCUGUCCUAUAAUCGAUAACCCUCGCUUAACCUAACCUUAACUAGCUACUUCAGCCUAUAUACCGCCGUCGACAGUCUACCCCAUGAGGGAUUAACAGUAAACACAAUAGCUACCGCUAACACGUCAGGUCAAGGUGUAGCACAUGCUAAGGAAGAGAUUGGCUACAUUUUUUACUCAAAAAACCACGAAGUGCAGCAUGAAACACUGCAUGAAGGUGAAUUUAGCAGUAAAAU
rnacentral:rRNA from 1 species